rnacentral:rRNA from 1 species
GACGAACCGUGCGAACGUUGUUCGGAAUCACUGGGCUUAAAGGGCGCGUAGGCGGGCCUCCCAGUCCGGGGUGAAAGCUUUCGGCUUAACCGGAAAAGUGCCUUGGAUACUGGAGGCCUCGAGGGGGGUAGGGGCAGCUGGAACUUCCGGUGGAGCGGUGAAAUGCGUUGAUAUCGGAAGGAACGCCGGUGGCGAAAGCGAGCUGCUGGACCUCUACUGACGCUGAGGCGCGAAAGCCAGGGGAGCGAACGGG